rnacentral:rRNA from 1 species
GACGAAGGUGGCAAGCGUUGUUCGGAAUCACUGGGCUUAAAGGGCGCGUAGGCGGCUUGUCAAGUGUCUGGUGAAAGACCCCGGCUUAACCGGGGAAUGUCUGGGCAAACUGACGAGCUUGAGGCAGGUAGGGGCAAGUGGAACUCUUGGUGGAGCGGUGGAAUGCGUAGAUAUCAAGAGGAACGCCGGAGGCGAAGGCGACUUGCUGGGCCUGUCCUGACGCUGAGGCGCGAAAGCCAGGGGAGCAAACGGGAUUAGAUACCCCGGUAGUCCUGGCCCUAAACGAUGUCCACUAGGCUGAAGGCACUCUGACGUGUUUUCGGCCGAAAUGAAAACGUUAAGUGGACCGCCUGGGGAGUACGGUCGCAAGGCUAAA